rnacentral:ncRNA from 11 species
GCGAGGUGACGAUAGAAUUCAUUGGUCUGUCAAUCCACUGAUAUCAACAUCAGAUGAUGUUAAACAAUGAAUCCCGACAGGUUCUGAUCGC